UACAGAGGUCCCGAGCGUUGUUCGGAUUCACUGGGCGUAAAGGGUGCGUAGGUGGCAUGGUAAGUUUGAUGUGAAAGCUCAGGGCUUAACCCUGAAAUGGCAUUGAAUACUACUGUGCUGGAGGUUUGGAGGGGGGGACUGGAAUUCUUGGUGUAGCAGUGAAAUGCGUAGAUAUCAAGAGGAACACCAGUGGCGAAGGCGAGUCCCUGGACAACACCUGACACUGAGGCACGAAAGCUAGGGGAGCAAACAGG
rnacentral:rRNA from 1 species